GCCCCCGUAGCUCAGUGGAUUAGAGCAAGACGGUUCUAACGUUUAGGUCGUAGGUUCGAGUCCUACCGGGGGUACCA
rnacentral:tRNA from 2 species